rnacentral:rRNA from 1 species
GAUAGUGAACCAGUACCGUGAGGGAAAGGCGAAAAGAACCCCGGCGAGGGGAGUGAAAAAGAACCUGAAACCGUGUACGUACAAGCAGUGGGAGCACGCUUCGGCGUGUGACUGCGUACCUUUUGUAUAAUGGGUCAGCGACUUAUAUUCUGUAGCAAGGUUAACCGAAUAGGGGAGCCGAAGGGAAACCGAGUCUUAACUGGGCGUUAAGUUGCAGGGUAUAGACCCGAAACCCGGUGAUCUAGCCAUGGGCAGGUUGAAGGUUGGGUAACACUAACUGGAGGACCGAACCGACUAAUGUUGAAAAAUUAGCGGAUGACUUGUGGCUGGGGGUGAAAGGCCAAUCAAACCGGGAGAUAGCUGGUUCUCCCCGAAAGCUAUUUAGGUAGCGCCUCGUGAAUUCAUCUCCGGGGGUAGAGCACUGUUUCGGCAAGGGGGUCAUCCCGACUUACCAACCCGAUGCAAACUGCGAAUACCGGAGAAUGUUAUCACGGGAGACACACGGCGGGUGCUAACGUCCGUCGUGAAGAGGGAAACAACCCAGACCGCCAGCUAAGGUCCCAAAGUCAUGGUUAAGUGGGAAACGAUGUGGGAAGGCCCAGACAGCCAGGAUGUUGGCUUAGAAGCAGCCAUCAUUUAAAGAAAGCGUAAUAGCUCACUGGUCGAGUCGGCCUGCGCGGAAGAUGUAACGGGGCUAAACCAUGCACCGAAGCUGCGGCAGCGACACUAUGUGUUGUUGGGUAGGGGAGCG